rnacentral:tRNA from 1 species
AAGACAGGUCUAGGACAAGGGAAGCCGCUAACUUCCUCAUCCAUGGUUCGAAUCCACGGCUCUCUUA